rnacentral:sRNA from 1 species
UCUUGUUGUCACAGCUAUUCAUGAAGUUGUUGGUUUUGUUUUUGUUGUGCAACGAACUCCCACUCUGCUAUCUGGCCAGAAGUAGCCAAGGGAGAUGAGGCUUGGACAUCACAGAUCCCAGACGCACACUUCAAUGAACCCCAGAUAUGUGCAUUUGGGAGGCUUUGUGGGAAAGGUUUUGGUGGCACAGGAACAUGGGUAGCACUCGGUUCUGGUGGGAUUAUAAGAUCAGCAUGUGCUGCUUUCUCCCAUGGACGUGAAUGGGUGGCAGAUUGCUCUUCAAUUCCUGCACCAAUCUCUUCUUGAUCAUUAAAGCUCUUCCCAUAAUUUAAUGCUUGAAUCAGAAAUCCUUCAUUGGUUAUUUCAAUGUAUAAGUCAGUUAAUUCCAACAAUUUAGAGAGCUUGUCCUCCACUGAAAACUCUUGUGGCACAUUAAGCUGCUCAAAAUACUGCCCAAGAUACUCUUUCAAACUUUAAGUGUAGAACUCUGAAUGGGGAUUAUUUAAAAUAAUUCCUUCU